UUAAGUUCAGCGGGUAGUCCUACCUGAUUUGAGGUCGAAUUGUCAAGUGGGGUUUUUUCCAAAUCAAUGGAAAAGGUUGGGCAUAGGCAUUAAAGCAAUCCAGCCACGGCGAUCAUUAUCACACCGAAAGGCCAAUUCAUGCACACGCCUUUGCCAAUGCAUUUCAGAGGAGCCGACUUGUGCAGCCGGCAGCGCCUCCA
rnacentral:misc_RNA from 1 species